rnacentral:lncRNA from 1 species
CUCUUCCGAUCUGAAAAGAAUGAAAUUGUUUAUGUUGAGACGAUAGAUAAUCAUAAUUUGGUUCCCUGGUUGUGAAUUUUAAUCUAAGAUGCGGUUCCACAUUCAAAAGCCUAUUCCUUUUUUUUCCUACUUAAUGUCUACAAAUGCUGAAAAAGCAACUUCACGUAGAUAUGAAAUUGGAAAGGCAAGAUGUAUUUCAGCAUUUUUUCUGUUAAAACUGGAUACCUUAUGUUUAUUUUUCAAGAAUCUGUCUGAAGCUAAUUCCAGCAAUUGCUCUUCUUCUGCAUGCGAUAAACCUUUUGGCAUGGAUGUUGUAUUAAUGUUGAACGGAU